CCCAGCUCUGAAGUGGCCCCUGUCCCCGGGGUCAGGUCUGCAGCUUGGAAAUGUCAUUGCUGAAGCCUCCUAGCAGCCGCUCGGGGCCUAUCUGCUCGGGUCCUUUGGGUGGGCGUUUUCUGCACAACUGUCUAGGGGCUUUGCUGCCUCUGCCCCGCUCCCACGCACAUCCAAGGAGCUCUUGCCCUUCUCUAGGGAGCUUUAAACUCAACCCAUCUGGCCAGGCUGAGGGCACGGGCUCCGGCCUGGCUGCUCCUGCUCCCACGCGACGCGGUGAGGCUGCAGACUCAGUCCUGCACACCGAAGGACAGACAAGUUCUCCGCAAAGCACGGGGAAGGGCCCGGCUUGGUGCAGUGCAAAGGCCCCUGGGAUGCUCUGGAGGAUUUGGUGUGGUGGCAACCAGCAAACCAGGCAGGGCUUUGAGUGCGGCCGCUCGUACCAGGCCAGGCUCGGUUCAGACCCAGGACAGCUCUGCUGCCGCGAUGCACCGUCCGGGGAGAGGCAAUGGAUCGCGUCACGCACGGACUGAGCCGCCCCCCUUCCAGCUCGUCUUACGUGGUGAAGACACUUUAUGGGGAGAGAUCACACGUCCCGUCAGUGGUACCUAUGUGAACCACCCUUUGCUAUAACCCUGCAGCCUAGAGCGGGGAGCCUAGGCCCGGAGGUGACCCCACGUCUCGGCUCCGCUCCCGCGAGCGCUAGCCCCCUCCAUCCUCUCCCCUCCUAUCCGGCACACGUAGCGACUUCUCCCAGGCGAGCCCCGUCGCGCUGGGCUGGCGCGGCGAGCUGCUGCUGCAUCAGGAUACAAUCAAACCCGCAGCAUUUGAUUCCAGAAUUUUUACAACUUCCACACCGUGUAGCCAGGCGCGCUCGCAGCUCCGGGGCUUUGCUGAUUGCAAACAGCAGCCCGUCGGCGACGGGAACAUCUGGCGGGAUGACAUCCUGAAAUGGAAAACAGGCACGAGGCGUGCUCCGCGGAGGGCCGCUUGCCCCGGGAAUUAACCUUUCGCUGCAGGAUCUGCGUGCGGGGCUGGCUUAGCUUUGAAAGGCAGUUUUUCCCUUGGCAGCCGAACCCGCUCCUUGCUGGAUCUGCCUCUGGCUUGAGUCUUGGCAAACCAGAGACCCACGGGGACCGACGCUGUCGGUACCCUGCUGACACGGCCGGAUCCAAGACCCACAAGAAGUUCCCCGCUGACUUCAGGGGACGCUGGAUCGGACCCCAAAUGUCUGUUCCCACAGCUGGAGGGGGUAGUGGUGUCUGGCCAGCAGGGUCGACAGGGUCCAGAGCGAACCCUGGGUUUAGUCCCGAUGUUUACACCUGUGGGCUGUGUGGAGGGGAAGCCCACCCCCAAGUCAGGCAAUUAAAAUCAUUUAAAUUUGUUGUUUAGCAGGGGGGGAAAGAGACUCUUUACUCCAAAGUCAUGUGCCAACACUUGGCCGGGAUGGUUUUGACAAGGACAGUCCUGCCUUGAGCGUGGAGCUGGACUAGACGUGGCCUCUCCAGUGGUCAGCCCGACUGUCCUAUGAUGCUCUUGCUGCUCCAUCGACGCCACGCUUGGGAAAGCGAGCGCUCGCAUGAGUUUCUCUGCCCCGAGCGACGCAGGAGUUGAGAGGAGAUGAUGGAAUUGGUCCCUUCUGGCCUUGACAUCUGCAAACCGAAGCAUCUGGAGCUGAUCACCCGCUCCGUGCUCUGCCAUCGCUCCUGCCGACCUCAGCGGGAGGUUUCCCAGCCACGGGCACGGGAGGAGGAUGUUCCACAGCAAUGCGUGCAGCCGGCCCUGCCUCCCCGCGCCGCCCGCCUUAGCGCUGCCCCCCAGGCACGUCCUAGACGGGGCCAGAGGAAUGCACCGCUUCCAGAGCCACCCUUUGAACAUUGGCACCCUGCCUUCGAGCACAGCAGAAGGGUUUUAAAUCAAGUAGCAAAGGUCUGAUCUCAUUUGCAAUGUUAAUGUGGAGAGGUUUGGAGUCCCGGCUGCAGAACCUCCUUCCUUUCCAUAAAAUCCAGGUGGCUUCAUCCCUAGCAGGUCCCAUUAGAGUAGCCUGGAAGGGAAAAGGGGCUCCAGUGUCCUUGGCUCAUGCAGUCAUUGGCUUCAUCGACUUUGAUUUCUCCAAACUGCUCCUUCCCAUCUGGGUAUUUCAGCUGUCUUGUGCUUUGGAUGAGAGGGACCCAGGCAGGGCAGAUUUGUGUUUGGCCCUACAUGGAGGUGUGUUGCAAACGUGCUAUCUCUGCUUGUAUAGGUUUGCCCCUCCGUUCAAAUGGAAGCAGCUCUGGCUAAGCUGAUAAAUGGGGUCCUGGCACGUUUGCACACCAGGCGACGUGGGCUUUCAUACGGGGCUUGGUUGGGUGUUUGAAGAGGGCGAGUCGAUGGGAUGUCAGUGGUGCAAGUGCCACGGGCAGAAAGGUGUCGGUUGUAGCCGUGUUGGUCUAAGGACAUAGGCAGACAAGGCUCUUUGGGUUCAUGUGUUAGCUUUUAUUAGAGCAACUAAAUAGAUUUAAAACAGUUCUAAUACAUGGAAAAUAGUCGAUGAAUUCAAUCGAUUUAGUUGCUCUAAUAAAAGAGAUCACGUUUGCCCAAAGAGCCUUGUCUGCCCACGGGGCAGAAAGGCCCUUUCAGAGAGGAAAGACACGGCGAAGGACCCGUGUUCGUGACGGGACUGGCCCCUGGGGUCAAAUCCAUCCCUCGCAGACACCGAUCCAUUGAAGUCGAGGGCUGCGGUGGGAAUGCAUGUGCCCACGAUGUGUAAUCCCAUUGUAAACACAAGCCCGGUCCCGUUCCUGUGUAAGUACAUGGCAAAGCUCUGGCCGGCUUCAAAGGGGAGGCCCGGGCCGCGCUCGCAUGCGGGGGGUUGUAUUUCAUGUCAUACAGCUUUGCUUUUCCUUUUUUUCCAGCCUGGGUCAGACCCGGCGAGUUCCUGCCGAGCCUUCAGAAGUGCCGUGAGCUUCCCCAGCCGCCCCGGCGGUGUAAACACAAGUGGAGACAGGCCCCGACGUGUGUGAAUGGAGCAAAGAGAAAUGACCGCCGGCUCGGGAGCAGCAGCGGGCUGGGCUGAGCCCGUGGCAGGAAGAUUUUCCUUCCAGAAAGAGCACUUCAGACGCAGGAAUAAGCUUUUAAUCAAGUCCAAAUGGGAGUCUAAUGGGUGCGGUAGAAGGAAGUAACACAUCAUCGAUCCUGCCACAGCAGCUCCCGCGCCUCGGACACGCUGAAUGUUUGGCUCCGUUUUGGCUUGCGAUCCUGCUGCGAAAUGCUAAUCCUGGAGCCGUGAGCUGGAUGGGCCUGGCUGUGCCCCGACCCGGAGGUAACAGAGUCGGGGCUUCUGCCCCCCACCCGAGCCCUGUUUGCUCUGUUCAAAAUGAACCACAGCGCGUCCUUCUCGAGACGUGCCACGUGCGUUUCCAGAGGACGGAGGCUGCCCCGGGCUCAGAGCUGCAUCUCCGUGUCUCGCCUCGCACCUCCUUGCCUCAGUGCUUUGCGUUGUGUUAGGAACCGGUGGGUAUUCGGGUUGUCUUAGAUGUUGAAUCUGACUUUUACAGGAGUCUAGUGGGUUUUUUCAAUGUACUAGUCAUGUGCAUUUGCCUUCUGGACAUAAAGUCUAUGCACUGUAAUCCAUACCUGAUGUAUGCAAGCACGCGGGCACGCUUGUGCUGUCGUGGGCACGUCCCAGAAGAGAUUCACGUAUACCCCACUGGGUAUGUGCUGCACGCUUUCUCAGAAGACAAGCAAUUACCCAGGGCCUGGCACCAGGUGAAUUCCAGCAGUGGCAUUCAAAGCAAUGCUGAAGGUGCACUGUCCUCCCAGGUUUGUCAUUUAUUUAAGCUCUCCAUCUUCUCCUCUUGCUGCUGCUCUGCCUCCUCCCCCAAGCAAACACGUUGCAUCCCUCUGUAGUCGCUCGCCACUCAAGGUUGUGAGGACGUGGUAAUAAAUUAAAAAUAGUUAAUGUAUUAAAAUAGCCAUGCAACUGCUAAGGCUUAUGUAUUGUGAGAGAGCAAUCAGCAGCAGCACCUGGAAGGUGUGGGAGGCGAGAGGGCAGAGAGACCCCUGAAAGACCAGCUGAAUGAGGUCUCUGUGGAGCACGCGCUUUCGUGAGCUCCGGUUUGCUUUGUCGGAUGCUAACAUGGCUAACGACCGACCGUUCCCUCUUACGAGGCGGCCAGAGCUUAAGCUUUGCUGCAUUUCGAGUCCCUCUUCCUCUGCUGCUGCCUGGACGUGGCGUAUGCCAGUGGCUAAAACCUCUCCGCGCUGCCUUGUGAAGGACUCAAAGCAAUGCAUCGGUUUGAUGCCUCAGGCCGUGCCCUGCUCCCAGGGUGCAAGGUAAAUCAGACGUGCAGGAGGAACGGCUCAGGCCCUGGCCUAGCAACACCUCCGUGCAUGAGGAGGGCUCUGGGGUGUGCAAGGAACUGCAGCCUGGCGCAUCGUUUGGGUGCGAUGCAUUGGCUUAUUAAUGCACGCUACUUCAGACCGUACCGCUCCAGGCCUGCUGCCUGUAAUGCGUCUGGGGGGGGGUCCCACUGGUGCCAGCACACGCCGCGUGCUCUUGUUUGCAAAUUGGCCAGUGCGGGGGUGCCUGUCCCCUCGGCGAGUGCUUUGUGUUUUAUAAGAGGACCUGGGCUUUGCCUCGCACGAGGUUUUCUCCGAUUGCCUCUUCUUGCCGUCUUAAGUUUUGAGAACAAAUGUGACUGAUUUUGAGACCUCCUAAAAAUAUAGCUCCAGGGUGAUUUAAGCUAAACCAUGUGCUGGGGGUUUCCAUGUUCCCAGGCUGGUUGUGCAGAGCGGAGAGACUCAAAUAUACUGCACGGACGACUGGGAGGGAGUAGGGGAGGGCUUUGGGUCUCUGCCUCAGUUUCCACCCCUCCUCUAACUCCAUCUCCCCCCCAGCUGCACUGGACGUGGGGCCAGAGACACCGAGAGACACCUGAAGUCAUUCCUGGGGCAGGUGCAAGCUGCUCUUGAGCUUUGCGUGACGGAGCAUAAAUCAGUCAUAAGGGAAGUCUGGGAGUCUUCAUCAUUGAUCUGGUUUUUAUUAACUUAAGAGUCCCUCAAAGAAAUACCUUUUAGGCUAAACAGCAUGAUUUGCUCAUUAAGCAGGAACCUUUUGUUUCCCCUCAAAUAUAUUGGCCCAUUGUCCCUUGAUAUACAUCCAAAAAUAAAUAGUUCAUAAAGGUG